rnacentral:rRNA from 1 species
UACGUAGGGGGCAAGCGUUUGUCCGGAAUCAUUGGGCGUAAAGAGCGCGUAGGCGGUCCGGUAAGUCCGCUCUGAAAGCCCGGGGCUCAACCCCGGGAGGCGGGCGGAUACUGUCGGGCUAGAGUCCGGAAGAGGCGAGUGGAAUUCCUGGUGUAGCGGUGAAAUGCGCAGAUAUCAGGAGGAACACCGAUGGCGAAGGCGGCUUUCUGGUCUGUAACUGACGCUGAGGCGCGAAAGCGUGGGGAGCAAACAGG